ACUCCUACGGGAGGCAGCAGUGGGGAAUUUUGGACAAUGGGCGCAAGCCUGAUCCAGCCAUGCCGCGUGAGUGAAGAAGGCCUUCGGGUUGUAAAGCUCUUUCGGCCGGGAAGAAAUCGUGGUCUCUAACAUAGGCCAUGGAUGACGGUACCGGACUAAGAAGCACCGGCUAACUACGUGCCAGCAGCCGCGGUAAUAC
rnacentral:rRNA from 1 species